rnacentral:rRNA from 1 species
UACGUAGGGUGCAAGCGUUAAUCGGAAUACUGGGCGUAAAGCGUGCGCAGGCGGUUAUGCAAGACAGAUGUGAAAUCCCCGGGCUCAACCUGGGAACUGCAUUUGUGACUGCAUGGCUAGAGUGCGGCAGAGGGGGAUGGAAUUCCGCGUGUAGCAGUGAAAUGCGUAGAUAUGCGGAGGAACACCGAUGGCGAAGGCAAUCCCCUGGGCCUGCACUGACGCUCAUGCACGAAAGCGUGGGGAGCAAACAGG